rnacentral:rRNA from 1 species
UCAAGUAAUUAAGAGCACAAGGCGGAUGCCUUGGCAGCUGAAGGCGAUGAAGGACGUAGUAACUUGCGAUAAGCUUCGGGGAGGUGGUAAACAACCUUUGAUCCGGAGAUUUCCGAAUGGGAGAACCCAGUGUGCAUAAGCACAUUAUCUUAUACUGAAUACAUAGGUAUAUGAGGCAAACCUAGGGAACUGAAACAUCUAAGUACCUAGAGGAAAAGAAAUCAAAAGAGAUUCCGGUAGUAGCGGCGAGCGAAACCGGACUAGCCCUUAAGCUUUUUUAAGAUUAGCAAAACAUACUGGAAAGUAUGGCCAUAGUAGGUGAUAGCCCUGUAUGCGAAAAUCUUUUGAAAGUGAAAUCGAGUAGGUCGGGACACGUGAAAUCUUGACUGAACAUGGGGGGACCAUCCUCCAAGGCUAAAUACUCUCAGCUGACCGAUAGUGAACCAGUACCGUGAGGGAAAGGCGAAAAGAACCCCGGCGAGGGGAGUGAAAUAGAACCUGAAACCUUGUGCUUACAAGCAGUCGGAGCAGACUUGUUCUGUGACGGCGUACCUUUUGUAUAAUGGGUCAACGACUUAAUUUCAGUAGCAAGCUUAACCAAUUAGGGUAGGCGCAGGGAAACCGAGUCUUAAUAGGGCGUUCAGUUGCUGGGAUUAGACCCGAAACCGGGUGAUCUAUCCAUGGCCAGUGUGAAGGUCGAGUAACAUCGACUGGAGGCGCGAACCCACUUAUGUUGAAAAAUGAGGGGAUGAGCUGUGGAUAGGAGUGAAAGGCUAAUCAAACCCGGAGAUAGCUGGUUCUCUUCGAAAACUAUUUAGGUAGUGCCUCGUGUAUUACUGUAGGGGGUAGAGCACUGUUUCGGCUAGGGGGUCAUCCCGACUUACCAAACCGAUGCAAACUCCGAAUACCUACGAGUAUGAGCACGGGAGACAGACUGCGGGUGCUAACGUCCGUAGUCGAGAGGGAAACAACCCAGACUGUCAGCUAAGGUCCCAAAUUAUGAUUAAGUGGGAAACAAUGUGGGAAGGCACAAACAGCUAGGAGGUUGGCUUAGAAGCAGCCAUCCUUUAAAGAAAGCGUAAUAGCUCACUAGUCGAGUCGGCCUGCGUGGAAGAUAUAACGGGGCUAAAUCAUAAACCGAAGCUACGGAUCUUAAAUUUAUUUAAGAUGGUAGAAGAGCGUUCUGUAAGCGGUUGAAGGCAUGCUGUAAGGCGUGCUGGACGUAUCAGAAGUGCGAAUGUUGACAUGAGUAACGAUCAAAGAGGUGAAAAACCUCUUCGCCGAAAAUCCAAGGUUUCCUGUCCAACGCUAAUCGAGGCAGGGUGAGUCGGCUCCUAAGGCGAGGGCGAAAGCCGUAGUCGAUGGAAAACAGGUUAAUAUUCCUGUACUUCUUAUAAUUGCGAUGGGGUGACGGAGAAGGUUAGGCUAGCACGGCGACGGUUGUCCGUGUUCAAGGUUGUAGGCUGGUGUUUUAGGUAAAUCCGGAACGCUAAGGCUGAGAACUGAUAACGACCACUCUAUGAGUGGGAAGUAGUCGAUACCAUGCUUCCAGGAAAAACCUCUAAGCUUCAGGUUAUAAGAAACCGUACCCUAAACCGACACAGGUGGUUAGGUCGAGUAGACCAAGGUGUUUGAGAGAACUAUGGUGAAGGAACUAGGCAAAAUAGCACCGUAACUUCGGGAGAAGGUGCGCCGCGGUUGGUGAUGAGACUUGCUCUCUAAGCUGAACGUGGUCGAAGAUACCAGGUGGCUGCGACUGUUUACUAAAAACAUAGCACUCUGCAAACUCGUAAGAGGAAGUAUAGGGUGUGACGCCUGCCCGGUGCCGGAAGGUUAAUUGAUGGGGUUAUCUUCGGAGAAGCUCUUGAUCGAAGCCCCGGUAAACGGCGGCCGUAACUAUAACGGUCCUAAGGUAGCGAAAUUCCUUGUCGGGUAAGUUCCGACCUGCACGAAUGGCGUAACGAUGGCCACACUGUCUCCACCCGAGACUCAGUGAAAUUGAAAUUGCGGUUAAGAUGCCGUAUACCCGCGGCUAGACGGAAAGACCCCGUGCACCUUUACUACAGCUUUGCACUGGACUUUGAUUUUAUCUGUGUAGGAUAGGUGGGAGACUUUGAAGCAGUCACGCUAGUGAUUGUGGAGUCGACCUUGAAAUACCACCCUGGGAGCAUCGGACAGGUCUCCUGCAGUGGCUUGUUUGGUUUAUCGGUCGCUACCAGUGCUCGAUAACAGGGAGCCUGAGAUGGAAUAUCCAUUUGCACGGUGUUUUCUACGCGUUCAGUUUCAGUGGAGUUGCUGGUCUUCAUAUUGAUAACAUGUUCGCUCUUGGUAUCAACCCCUGACUUGUCGUCUAGUUGUGAUGUGCUAGAUUCCACCAUUCCAAUAACUUCCUCCCCGUUAAAGAAUCGUUCAUCACAGGAUUGGCUCGCUUUUGUUGGAGAAUGGAAACUGGUGACGGGGGAAUCUUGAUCCUCGGAUCCCAAUGGCCAAACGCGGCCUUGC